CCCAUCUCAGGGUCGCACCUGGAGGGUUUCCAGUACUCUACCAGUCCCAAUUAGGGGAGGGAGAGUAAAGCAGAGGCUUAUCCGUUCCAUUCCUAGCUUGGACAGUGGCUAGCAAAUGGAAGGCAAUCUGCUACAAGU